UGGGAAUUUUGGACAAUGGACGCAAGUCUGAUCCAGCCAUGCCGCGUGCGGGAAGAAGGCCUUCGGGUUGUAAACCGCUUUUGUCAGGGAAGAAACGAGUUUCUCUAAUACAGAGACUUAAUGACGGUACCUGAAGAAUAAGCACCGGCUAACUACGUGCCAGCAGCCGCGGUAAUACGUAGGGUGCAAGCGUUAAUCGGAAUUACUGGGCGUAAAGCGUGCGCAGGCGGUUAUGCAAGACAGAGGUGAAAUCCCCGGGCUCAACCUGGGAACUGCAUUAGUGACUGCAUAGCUGGAGUACGGCAGAGGGGGAUGGAAUUCCGCGUGUAGCAGUGAAAUGCGUAGAUAUGCGGAGGAACACCGAUGGCGAAGGCAAUCCCCUGGACCUGUACUGACGCUCAUGCACGAAAGCGUGGGGAGCAAACA
rnacentral:rRNA from 1 species